UACGGAGGAUGCGAGCGUUAUCCGGAUUUAUUGGGUUUAAAGGGUGCGCAGGCGGGGCUUUAAGUCAGCGGUGAAAUCUCGAGGCUCAACCUCGAAAUUGCCGUUGAAACUGGAACCCUUGAGUAUAGAUGAAGUAGGCGGAAUUCGUUGUGUAGCGGUGAAAUGCAUAGAUAUAACGAGGAACCCCGAUUGCGUAGGCAGCUUACUAAACUAUAACUGACGCUCAAGCACGAAAGCGUGGGUAUCAAACAGG
rnacentral:rRNA from 1 species